rnacentral:misc_RNA from 2 species
AACUCUCAACCCCUCGGGUUUUACGACCUGUCGCGGUUGGAUUUGGGCGCUGCCGCUUCACUGCCGGCUCGCCUCAAAGGUCUUAGCGGGAAUAGUCGAACCCAAUGUCUGGCGUAAUAAGUUUCGCUGGGCUCGUGGCCGACGACCGUCCGCUCACAAAGCACAACUCUUCAUG